GUGAAGACUUUUUCUGUUCAAGAGAACCAGAGCAACCUGCCAUUCCCAGAGAGAGCGCUUGGAGGAGGAGGUGAUUCUGAAGAUCAACAUGAAACAUUCAUCCCUGAUAGCAGAUGAAACACCUGACAGGUGUUUGGGGAAAGAAAGUGAGGGUGCCAGAAAAGAGAAAACAGAAAAUGGAAGGCAUCCGAGGCUGAUCCUAUCCAAAAAUGAACUCCAGAGGGUCCUAAAGCUGGCAGGGACAUUGCUACGCAGCAUCAACAGCAUGGUCCUUGCUACUGAUGGUCACCAGAAGCAGGAGAUGAAUCCAUGGCACUACUGUACUACUGGUUGGAGGGACAUACGCCCAUCCUCACCAC